rnacentral:rRNA from 1 species
UACGGAGGGGGCUAGCGUUGUUCGGAAUUACUGGGCGUAAAGCGCACGAGGCGGCUUUGUAAGUUAGAGGUGAAAGCCCGGGGCUCAACUCCGGAAUUGCCUUUAAGACUGCAUCGCUAGAAUUGUGGAGAGGUAAGUGGAAUUCCGAGUGUAGAGGUGAAAUUCGUAGAUAUUCGGAAGAACACCAGUGGCGAAGGCGACUUACUGGGACACAUAUUU